rnacentral:sRNA from 1 species
CCCGUCCACCCCGUGGACGCCCUGACCAUAAGGCCCGGACCCGGCUACCCUGACGGCGUGCGCACUCCCCGGGAAGCGGCACCGCGUCCCGGGGUCACGCAAAGCCGACAGCCGUCGCACCCGAGGGAGCCCUUCCAUG